GGGGAGGCGGCAGCAGCGGCCAGAGCGGCUCCGCGGGCAGCAUGGGCGGCUGUGGGCUCCUCUGGGGCUCGGUGGCGGCGCGCUUCUGCCGCGCCCCAGCGGCCUUCGCCGUGAGCCGGCGCCCGCUGCUCACCAGUCCGCCGAGCCGAGCUUUCGCCAAGGAGCUCUUCCUGGGCAAGAUCCAGAAGAAAGAAGCUUUCCCGUUUCCAGAGAUUAGCGGAGAUGAACUUAAUGAGAUUAAUCAGUUUGUGGGACCUGUAGAGAAAUUCUUCACCGAAGAAGUGGACUCUCGAAAAAUUGACCAGGAGGGAAAAAUCCCAGAUGAAACUUUAGAGAAACUGAAGUCCCUGGGGCUUUUUGGAAUGCAAGUCCCAGAAGAAUAUGGUGGCCUGGGCCUCUCCAACACCAUGUACGCGCGGCUGGGGGAGGUCAUCGGCCUGGACGCCUCCAUCGCUGUGACUCUGGCGGCUCACCAGGCCAUCGGCCUCAAGGGGAUCAUCUUGGCCGGCAGCAAGGAGCAGAAGGCCAGGUACCUGCCCAGGCUGGCGUCCGGGGAGCACGUGGCCGCCUUCUGCCUGACGGAGCCAGCCAGUGGGAGUGAUGCCGCCUCCAUCCGGACCAGGGCCACGCUGAGCGCAGAUAAGAGGCACUACGUCCUCAACGGCUCCAAGGUCUGGAUCACCAAUGGGGGACUGGCCAGCAUCUUUACUGUGUUCGCGAAGACGGAGGUCGUUGAUUCCGACGGCUCCGUGAAGGACAAGAUCACAGCGUUCAUAGUAGAGAGAGACUUUGGUGGCGUCACCAACGGGAAACCCGAGGAUAAGAUGGGCAUCCGAGGCUCCAACACCUGCGAGGUCCACUUUGAGAACACCAGGGUGCCAGUGGAGAACGUCCUCGGGGAAGUCGGAGGCGGCUUCAAGGUGGCCAUGAACAUCCUCAACAGCGGGCGCUUCAGCAUGGGCAGCACGGUGGCCGGGAUGCUCAAGAAGCUGAUCGGAAUGGCCGCCGAGUACGCCUGCACAAGGAAACAGUUCAACAGGAGCCUCAGUGAGUUCGGCCUGAUUCAGGAGAAGUUUGCCCUGAUGGCGCAGAAGGCCUACGUGAUGGAAAGCAUGGCCUACCUCACGGCGGCGAUGCUGGACGCGCCUGGCUUCCCCGACUGCUCCAUCGAGACCGCCAUGGUGAAGGUGUUCAGCUCCGAGGGCGCCUGGACGUGCGUGAGCGAGGCGCUGCAGGUGUUCGGCGGCUCAGGCUACGUCAGGGACCACCCUUACGAGCGCUUCCUGCGCGACAGCCGCAUCCUGCUCAUCUUCGAGGGAACCAAUGAGAUCCUCCGCAUGUACAUCGCCCUGACAGGCCUGCAGCACGCCGGCCGCAUCCUGACUGCAAGGGUCAAGGAGCUCAAACGGGGCAACGUGACCACCAUCAUGGAGACCAUCGGCCAGAGGCUUCGGGACUCCCUGGGCCGCACCGUGGACUUGGGACUGACUGGGAAGCUUGGAGUUGUGCACCCCAGCCUUGCGGAUGGUGCCCACAAGCUCGAGGAAAACGUGUACUACUUCGGCCGCUCUGUGGAGAGCCUGCUGCUGCGCUUUGGCAAGACCAUCGUGGAGGAGCAGCUGGUCUUGAAGCGAGUCGCCAACGUGCUCAUCAACCUGUACGCGAUGACGGCCGUGCUGUCCCGGGCCAGCCGCUCCAUCCGCCUGGGGCUGCGGGACCACGACCACGAGGUUCUGUUGGCAAACAUCUUCUGCUCAGAAGCUUAUCACCAGAAUCUCUUCACCCUGUCUCAGCUAGACAAACGUGAGUGGGUGCUAGGCUUGGGGGGUGGGGGGACCCGGCAUCUGCUGGGCAGCGGAGGGGACGACACGCGCGCCAGGCACCAUGGGCACGGAUGCCGAGGUCGCGUGCACUGUGGGAAGAGGCCUGAGCCCCCGGGGCCCCUCCCCGCGCUCCUUGAGCCCAGAGGCCCCUCCCCGCACGGCGCUGCUGCCUUCAGGGCCCCUCCAUAGGGCGAGCUGCCCUUGUCAGAGAGAGCGCUCCAGUGGCGUCCCUCCUGUCUCCUGCGUAGAUUCUCCAGAAAACCUGGAUGAGCUGGUCAAGAAGGUGUCCCAGCAGAUCCUCGAGAAGCGGGCCUACAUCUGCACCCACCCCCUAGACCGGGCGUCCUGAAGAGGGCCCGUGUCCUCACGGCCGCCGCCCCAGACACACCCACAGCGGCCCGAAGGUACAGAACUUGGUUUAUUACAAACUGACCAUUUCUCUUCUUCACCUGACGGGCCUUUCCUGGGCCCCCGACCUGUGGGCACCGCUGCUAGACGCGAUCUUGGCCUGUGAGUGGAUGUGGGGUGAGCACGGAGCUGCUGAGACUCCCCGGCUCGGGGGGCACUCGGAGGAGGCUGGUGGGCACAUGUCCCAGCGCGGUGCAUACAUCUGCGAGGCCGCACGCUCUCCAAGAAACAGCUCGAAAACUGCAUGCGUGUCGUUGGUUUUAAUUUGGAACGAAAGGCGCUUAGAACAUGUACCAGGAAACGUUCAGCACAGCUUGUCUGCCCUUCGAGUGUGGGCAGUCUAGACCCACAUCUCCUCUCAGCCAGCCUUGAGUGGACAGAGCUUGAUCCUCAGGCCUGCUGUCUGGGGCUGGUUUCCAGGGCCCUUGGUCCCCAGCAUGAGGGCUGUGCGCCUCGGCGCUGGGCUUGCUUGGGUGACAGCAGGGCUGUUCUGGAGCCCCUCGGCCUCUCCUUGAGCACAGCACUGUCUCCCCCGGCUCGAGCUGGCCUGGGUCCGGGCCCCUGUCUCCUCCUUGCUGACAUCCUUGUUCCGCAUGCUCACCUGGCAGGCUUCAGGCUCUGGUCUGGCCCCUGGGUGGUUUGUCCAGAAAGCUCACCCUCCACAUUGCCUUGAGGCAUCCAGGCUUUCCUGCUCGGGUGGGGCCGAGCGAGCGCCCAGAACCCUGACAGCCUCUCUCCCAAAGGUCCUACCUGGGGCUUCGUGGGGAAGUCGUUUCCAAAG
rnacentral:lncRNA from 1 species